GUGUCUCUGUUUGUGCAGAGGAGGUGCAGGUGGUGUCCGUGGGCCUGCUGGUGAUCGGUGGUGUUGGCGGUCAGCGUGGCUGGAUGUGUGGCAGCGACCUGUGAGAUCAGGUUCCUGCUGCUGACGGGCUGCAGUCAGACGUUCAGUGAUUGGCUGCAGGAGAACUCCCUGACCAUCAUCGCCAUGGACGUCGCCCUGCAGUUACUGCAGGUAGUAACACUGCACUGCCUGCAGAGGGUGCAAACACACCUUUGUCACAGUCUGAGG
rnacentral:lncRNA from 1 species